GAGAAGGUCAACGUCCAGGGACAGGGUCCUGACCUUAAACUACCAGAGGAGAGAAGGUCAACGUCCAGGGACAGGGUCCUGACCUUAAACUACCAGAGGAGAGAAGGUCAACGUCCAGGGACAGGGUCCUGACCUUAAACUACCAGAGGAGAGAAGGUCAACGUCCAGGGACAGGGUCCUGACCUUAAACUACCAGAGGAGAGAAGGUCAACGUCCAGGGACAGGGUCCUGACCUUAAACUACCAGAGGAGAGAAGGUCAACGUCCAGGGACAGGGUCCUGACCUUAAACUACCAGAGGAGAGAAGGUCAACGUCCAGGGACAGGGUCCUGACCUUAAACUACCAGAGGAGAGAAGGUCAAUGUCCAGGGACAGGGUCCUGACCUUAAACUACCAGAGGAGAGAAGGUCAACGUCCAGGGACAGGGUCCUGACCUUAAACUACCAGAGGAGAGAAGGUCAAUGUCCAGGGACAGGGUCCUGACCUUAAACUACCAGAGGAGAGAAGGUCAACGUCCAGGGACAGGGUCCUGACCUUAAACUACCAGAGGAGAGAAGGUCAACGUCCAGGGACAGGGUCCUGACCUUAAACUACCAGAGGAGAGAAGGUCAACGUCCAGGGACAGGGUCCUGACCUUAAACUACCAGAGGAGAGAAGGUCAACGUCCAGGGACAGGGUCCUGACCUUAAACUACCAGAGGAGAGAAGGUCAACGUCCAGGGACAGGGUCCUGACCUUAAACUACCAGAGGAGAGAAGGUCAACGUCCAGGGACAGGGUCCUGACCUUAAACUACCAGAGGAGAGAAGGUCAACGUCCAGGGACAGGGUCCUGACCUUAAACUACCAGAGGAGAGUAGGUCAACGUCCAGGGACAGGGGGUGGCUUGGGGAGGGCCCUGACCUUAAAGAUCUCAUCCAGGCCUGUCUGUUUGACUCCAAGUACCUUGCUGAGGACCCUGACCUUAAAGAUCUCAUCCUGUCUGUUUGACUCCAAGUACCUUGGGGAGGGCCCUGACCUUAAAGAUCUCAUCCUGUCUGUUUGACUCCAAGUACCUUGCUGAGGGCCCUGACCUUAAAGAUCUCAUCCUGUCUGUUUGACUCCAAGUACCUUGGGGAGGGCCCUGACCGUAAAGAUCUCAUCCUGUCUGUUUUACUCCAAGUACCUUGCUGAGGGCCCUGACCUUAAAGAUCUCAUCCUGUCUGUUUGACUUCAAGUACCUUGCUGAGGGCCCUGACCUUAAAGAUCUCAUCCUGUCUGUUUGACUCCAAGUACCUUGGGGAGGGCCCUGACCGUAAAGAUCUCAUCCUGUCUGUUUUACUCCAAGUACCUUGCUGAGGGCCCUGACCUUAAAGAUCUCAUCCUGUCUGUUUGACUCCAAGUACCUUGGGGAGGGCCCUGACCAUAAAGAUCUCAUCCUGUCUGUUUUACUCCAAGUACCUUGCUGAGGUCCCUGACCUUAAAGAUGUCAUCCUGUCUGUUUGACUCCAAGUACCUUGCUGAGGUCCCUGACCUUAAUGAUCUCAUCCAGGUCUGUCUGUUUGACUCCAAGUACCUUGCUGAGGUCCCUGACCUUAAAGAUGUCAUCCUGUCUGUUUGACUCCAAGUACCUUGGG